GCUCACGCGCUCUUGCGUGGAUUCCAUCAAUCAACUUCUCGAAUCGCAUCGGCUUGUGCCGGCGAUGCUUCAUUCAAAUCAUCUGCCCUCAUCAACUCUUCGAUCGGUCAGGAUCAGAGGCCUCACCAUCGGUUUCAACGGGUCAACGGGGAAUCAAGGGUCUCGAUUCCGGAGAGGGAGCCUCGAGAAACGGCUACCAAUCCAAGGAAGGCAGCAGGCGCGCAAAUUACCCAAUCCCGACACGGGGAGGUAGUCGACAAUCAAAUCAACAAUACAGGGCUCUUUUCGGGUCCUCGUCAAUUCGGAAUCGAGUCACAAUUUAAAUCCCUUCAACGAGGAACAAUUGGAGGGCAAGUCUCGGUGACCAGCAGCCGCGGUAAUUCCAGUCCAAUAGCGUCAUCAUUCAACAAGUUCG
rnacentral:rRNA from 1 species